CGGAAUUUUAAAAUAUAACCCCCCAUUCCAUGAUCCAGCUUCUGGGACAAGCUUUUCUUCAAUUGCUCUCUCUAAUGGCUCGUAACAGGGAAGCAUUGUUAUUGUUACUCGAUGUUGGCCCGUCGAUGCACAGUGUUCUUCCUCAGGUUGAAAAACUUUGCUCCAUGCUAGUACAAAAGAAGCUGAUUUACGGAAAAAAUGAUGAAGUUGGAAUUGUUUUAUUUGGAACUGAAGACACUAGCAAUGACCUGACGAAUGAAGUGGGUGGAUAUGAACAUGUUGUGGUUUUAAGAAAUAUCAAAGUUGUUGAUGGAGACCUUGUUGAAGCUUUUAAACAGCUCCCUCGAGGAACUGUUGCUGGUGAUUUUAUUGAUGCAAUUGUUGUUGGGUUGGAUAUGCUGAUAAAGAAAUAUAGAGAAACCAACAAAGGAAAGAAACGUAUCUGUCUUAUAACAGAUGCAGUGUGUCCUAUUAAAGAUCCGUAUGAAGGAACCAAAGAAGAACAAGUCAGCACCAUUGCCGUGCAAAUGGCUGCACAUGGCAUCAAAAUGGAAAAUAUUAUUGUCAGAAGAAGUUCAUGUGGGAACGUAAAUAUGAGAAUAAUAGACGAGAAUGAAAAUUUGUUGAAUUUAUUUUCAGAGAAAUCAAGCUCCAAGACUGUGUAUGUUGAUAGUCCAACUUCAUUAUUAGGUGCACUUAGAACUCGAAAUAUAGCUCCAGUCACCAUAUUUAGAGGUGAUCUUGAACUUGGCCAGAAAAUGAAGAUUAAGGUAUGGGUGUACAAGAAAACGGCUGAAGAGAAGUUUCCCACGCUGAAGAAAUAUUCUGAUAAAGCGCCUCCAACUGAUAAGUUUGCCACACGUGAAGUGAAGGUAGAUUAUGAGUACAAAAGUGUUGAAGAUCCUAGUAAAGCUGUUCCUCCAGAACAAAGGAUUAAAGGUUAUCGCUAUGGACCUCAAGUGGUUCCUAUAUCAUCUGCUGAAUGGGAGGCUGUGAAGUUCAAACCAGAGAAGAGUUUGAAGCUUCUGGGAUUUACUGAUCCUUCAAACAUAUUGCGUCACUAUUACAUGAAAGAUGUCAAUCUUUUCAUCGCUGAACCGGGUAAUACAAGAGCGAUGCUUGCUGUUUCUGCUUUAGCAAGAGCAAUGAAGGAAAUGAAUAAAGUUGCAAUUUUGCGUUGUGUCUGGAGACAAGGACAGCAGAGUGUUGUUGUUGGGGUUUUGACUCCCAGUUUGUCUGAAAAACAUAACAUUCCCGAUUCAUUCUACUUCAAUGUCCUUCCUUUUAUUGAGGAUGUUCGAGAGUUUCAGUUCCCCUCUUUCAGCAAUUAUCCUAUGUCCUGGCAACCAAAUGAGCAACAGCAAGAGGUAGCAGAUAACCUGGUAAAAAUGCUUGACCUUGCACCAUCUGGCAAAGGGGAAAGCCUGCAGCCUGAAUUUACGCCAAAUCCUGUUCUGGAGCGUUUCUAUCAUCAUCUUGAGUUGAAAUCAAAGGACCCAGAUGCAGCUGUGCCUCCACUUGAUGAAACUCUCAAGAAGAUCACUGAGUGUGAUCCGGAACUUCUUGCUGAAAGCAAGUCCAUUAUUGAUGCUUUUCGUAGACAUUUUGAACUCAAGGAGAAUCCUAAGCUGAAGAAAUCAACUAGACGCUUCCUGCGGGAGAAACCAUCUGGCUCAGAGGGGGGAGAUGCUGAUGGUGAUGUCUCUGAUGCACAGGCUCUCAAUUCCAUUGAAGGCAAACCUGCAGUUCUGAUUGAGAAAAUUGGGGAUUUGACCCCUGUCCAAGACUUUGUGGCUAUGAUGUCACGAAGAGAUAGCCCAGAAUGGGUUGGUAAAGCAAUUGAGGAUAUGAAAAGGAAAAUUUUUGAGCUAGUGAAGUCCCAUGAAGGUGAUAAUUAUCCUAAAGCAGUGGAAUUCUUAGUUGCCCUCCGUAAAGGGUGCAUCCUUGAGCAAGAACCAAAACAGUUCAAUGAUUUCCUCCGCAGUCUUUGCAAAUUCUGUCAGGAAGAAAAUAUUGACCGUUUGUGUGAAUUACUUGCAUCCAAAGAACUCUCAUUAAUUCCGAAGUCAGAAGCCAUAGACAGUGAUGUAACAGAUGAUGAAGCUGGACGCUUUCUCAUGAGAUGAGAGCCAAAAGAUGACUAAUGUUAUCCAUUAAAAGUCAAACUUGUUAUAGUUUGUUCUCUUCGUAUAUGUGGUAAAUGUGAAUUCUGAUGGCUCAUGUACAGAUAUCCAGCUAUUUUGAAAUUUGGGGACUGAUAAAUCCAUCUUUUUAAGUUAACAUUAUAGUUUGUGCUUCAUCUUGGCAAGGGUUUUCAUGGAAGGAUCCUCGAUGAAAUAGGCUUGCUGUACGAUUUCUGUUUUUCAAAGACAAAAGUCGUAUCUUUUUUAAGUGCAAAAGAGCAUCUUCUACCUUGCUUGGAUGAGAUUAGCUUCUAUGGAUUCAAUACAAGAUGGUUGAUACGAAUACAAGAUGAGUAUUGUAUUUGUCCUAUGCAGACUAAUUUAUCUCAAUGUUAUUUUUUAUUUUGUUAAACCAAUAUAAAUUCCAAACCGAUCAUCUCAGGCGGGAUUGGGAACAACCUUGUACUGUUUUGAUGUAGAACCCCUAUUCCAGUCACAGCUCCUGAGUCCUGAGACGCUUUCUACAAUUUAUCUUCUUCUAGUCA